rnacentral:tRNA from 1 species
GUCGGGAUAGCUCAGCUGGAAA